UCAAUGGAUGACUAUAACCAUCCGCGUCAUGAUCUGUAUGUGCAUUAAUUUCCAGGAAAUAAUUGGAGACGACAAGUCUGAAAUUGAAAGCUAAAGGAAAACAAGUUAUGGUACCACUUCAUCAACUAAACUUAUCAGAUAUUACCGAGGUCAUUAUACUAAAACAGAAAAUGAAUAGUCACAUUGACAUAGAAUAAUUAGUUAGCUGCUUAAUUAAAAUUAUCGAUGAAAAUAUAAGUUGUACUACGGACAUUGAUGCCCACCAAAUUAAACUUUUGGUUUUGAAUUACUCAUAUUCUCAUAUCAUAUCUUCGUCAGUAAUCUAUAUUGAUGUGUGUGAUACAAGAAAUUAAACCACUUAAAGGCCAAAUUCAAUCAGAUUACUGUUGAUAUAUAUAUAUAUACAGGAAUUCUCAGGUGCGGACGUCCGCACCAAAGAUUUGGUGCGGAUUUCCAUUUUUGCACCACUUCCUGAUCGAAUUUCCUCAAACUUCCUUCUAGACAUAUCUAGAUCAUCUUGUGUAGAUCAUCUCUGCAAAAUUUCAGCCAAUUUGGUGAUCGUUAAGGCCCUCAAACUUGAGUUACAAAACCGACGGACAGAAUUCUGUCCGGUUUAGACAUAUAACAGAAAAACACAAGUUUGAGGGUCUUAACAAUCACCAAAUUGGCUGAAAUUUUGCAGAGAUGAUCUACACAAGAUGAUCUAGAUAUGUCUAGAAGGAAGUUUGAGGAAAUUCGAUCGGGAAGUGGUGCAAAAAAUGAAGAUCCGCACCAAAAACUUUGAUGCGGACGUCCGCAGCCAAGAAGGGCUAUGUAUAUAUAUAUAUAUAAAUAUAUAUAUAUAAAUAUAUAUAUAUAUAAUAUAUAUAUAUAUAUAUAUAUAUACGGAAACGAUGUGGGGCGCACGUGCGCAAGUGCGCACGGAGCUCCGUUCGCCACCGUCCGGCGUUGGCGCCGGCGCGCCUUCCCCCUAAGGGACUCUAGCAGCGUCCCCGAUCGCUUUCCCCCCCGACGAGUCCACCGAAUUCCAGAUUUCCGGCGAGAUCAACCAAAACUUCAAAUAAAGUCGAUCUCGCCGG
rnacentral:lncRNA from 1 species